CCUACGGGAGGCAGCAGUAGGGAAUCUUCCACAAUGGGCGAAAGCCUGAUGGAGCAACGCCGCGUGGGUGAAGAAGGUCUUCGGAUCGUAAAACCCUGUUGUUAGAGAAGAAAGUGCGUGAGAGUAACUGUUCACGUUUCGACGGUAUCUAACCAGAAAGACACGGCUAACUACGUGCCAGCAGCCGCGGGAAUACGUAGGUGGCAAGCGUUAUCCGGAUUGAUUGGGCGUAAAGGGACCGAAGGCGGUCUUUUAAGUCUGAUGUGAAAGCCUUGGGCUUAACCGGAAUAGUGCAUUGGAAACUGGGGGUCUUGAGUGCAGGAGAGGAGAGUGGAACUCCAGGUGUAGCGGUGAAAUGCGUAGAUAUAAGGAAGAACACCAGUGGCGAAGGCGGCUCUCUGGUCUGUAACUGACGCUGAGGUUCGAAAGCGUGGGUAGCAAACAGGAUUAGAUACCCGGGUAGUC
rnacentral:rRNA from 1 species